rnacentral:misc_RNA from 1 species
AAGUUGUAACAAGGUUUCCGUAGGUGAACCUGCGGAAGGAUCAUUAACACGUAUCCAACCCCGUGAACCUUUAUUGUGGCACGCCUAUCCGUUAGAAAGUGGCAAUCCCUGGUAAAUCAUCGCCGAACAGUUUUGAUUCAGGGACUUCUGUGUGGGUAGGACAACUGCGCGAGCAAGUGGCCUGUCAUCCCUCUGCUUGUUAGUGUCUGAAAGUGUCACUUGCCCUGUACGGGUGGCGCAAUCACGAUCGCUAGAGGCCAACACGGCCGGCGACCGGGUCAAUGGGCCCUCGGCCCCCUAGAUCACCCCUUUGCAUGAAAACGGGCCUGCGCUUAGUUGUGCGGCCACCAAACUCGAACAACUGUUAACAAUGGAUAUCUUGGUUCUC